rnacentral:rRNA from 1 species
GGGGAAUCUUCCGCAAUGGACGAAAGUCUGACGGAGCAACGCCGCGUGAGUGAUGACGGCCUUCGGGUUGUAAAGCUCUGUUAAUCGGGACGAAAGGUCCUCUUGCGAAUAGUUAGAGGAAUUGACGGUACCGGAAUAGAAAGCCACGGCUAACUACGUGCCAGUAGCCGCGGUAAUACGUAGGUGGCAAGCGUUGUCCGGAAUUAUUGGGCGUAAAGCGCGCGCAGGCGGAUCAGUCAGUCUGUCUUAAAAGUUCGGGGCUUAACCCCGUGAUGGGAUGGAAACUGCUGAUCUAGAGUAUCGGAGAGGAAAGUGGAAUUCCUAGUGUAGCGGUGAAAUGCGUAGAUAUUAGGAAGAACACCAGUGGCGAAGGCGACUUUCUGGACGAAAACUGACGCUGAGGCGCGAAAGCCAGGGGAGCGAACGGGAUUAGAUACCCCGGUAGUCCUGGCCGUAAACGAUGGGUACUAGGUGUAGGAGGUAUCGACCCCUUCUGUGCCGGAGUUAACGCAAUAAGUACCCCGCCUGGGGAGUACGACCGCAAGGUUG